rnacentral:lncRNA from 1 species
CUUGUGACAAGUUAUCUUUCAUCAAAAAAGAACUAUUUUUUAUAGAAACUAGGAUGCUCGAAAGGAAACUAGAAUCAUACAUCAUCAAGAUCUGGGCAAAAGUAUCAUAUUGAUGGAGUCAGAUAUCUUUUAUCUAAUUUAUAUUUCUGACUAAUAUUGUAAUCAUAUAUUAUGCACGUUACUUUUAUGAACGUGGUACAAAGUUAAAGUAUCAUAAUAUAUAGUUAAAUAAAUAUAAUACAUAGUUAUUUUAUUCUGGUACACAGUUAAUGCAAUAUGAUAUAUAGUUAUUUUUAUUUUCAAAGAUUAUAGAUCAUGCCUUCUCAAAGUCGGAGCCAUCAC